CGCGUCGUGUGGUGGCGUUGCACUUAACUCCCUCCCAAUCAUCACAACAAUCAGACGGCAUUCCAUCAUCCUCACCAACCCAUGAAGGAAGAAUUUUGUCAUCAUAUCCAAUAUCACUGACUGAUAUGAAGAAGCUCUUGAUUUCCAAUAGAGCAGUCCUCUCUGUUUCCAAGCAUCCUUUGUAUCCAUGCAUUUCAUUCAUCAAUACAAUAAUCCAAAUUAGUGACAUUAAUGAGAACUUAAUACAGGAAGUAUUUUCCAUUGCAGAGCAACUUUUCAUUUGGUUAAAAUUAAAUGUGUAAUGAGCAACUUUCCAUUGCAGAGCAA
rnacentral:lncRNA from 1 species